UUCCUUGGUCUUCAGUCUCGGUCAGGUUCAGGGUGCGAUUUUGUUGGGGUCCUUGGCGUGCGGACACGUGCGGUGCUGUUGUUGCCGGUGAUACCACGUGGCCGGAUUUUGUGGAUUGGCUGCUAGGACCCCAAUAUCUACGAUAAAGAACUGCUCAACGUCUUCGGAUCAGCAUCGGGAUUCUUCCCUCUGGCCGAGCGAAAUUUCUCAUCCCCGACUGACAUCGUGAUGGAGAUGGUGUCGUGGACCUUGGACAUUUGAACUCGAGAAAGCUGUUGAUCAUCCCGGGAGUUUCUGCGUGCCACGUGUCACGGAAACCCGCUAUGAUAAGUGACCACUGUUUACCUCCACCGACGUGUCAGAAAUAAUUCGAACCCAGUGUAGUUUAAAUUAAUAUUAGAUUUAAAAAAUAUAUUUAAAGUUGUUUGUUCAUUCAAAUUUGUAUUAAGCUUAAAAGUGGUUUCCUUGUAUUAAAUUACUUUCUACAUUAGUCUAAUUUAAUUUUGUUUUCCAAUCCAAUCUGAUCGCUAACUUUUUUUUUAAAUAUAUAUUUACCUCUCUCUG
rnacentral:misc_RNA from 1 species